rnacentral:rRNA from 1 species
GUCCCAGUUCGGACUGCGGUCUGCAACCCGACCGCACGAAGCUGGAAUCGCUAGUAAUCGCGAAUCAGAAUGUCGCGGUGAAUACGUUCCCGGGUCUUGUACACACCGCCCGUCACACCAUGGGAGUCAGCAACGCCCGAAGUCAGUGACCCAACCGAAAGGAGGGAGCAGCCGAAGGCAGGUCGGAUGACUGGGGUGAAGUCGUAACAAGGUAUC